AGAGUUUGAUCCUGGCUCAGAACGAACGCUGGCGGCAGGCCUAACACAUGCAAGUCGAGCGCUUUAACCACUUCGGUGGAGCGAGAGCGGCGGACGGGUGAGUAACGCGUGGGAAUAUGCCCUUCACUGCGGAAUAGCCUCGGGAAACUGAGAGUAAUACCGCAUACGCCCUUCGGGGGAAAGAUUUAUCGGUGAAGGAUUAGCCCGCGUUGGAUUAGGUAGUUGGUGGGGUAAAAGCCUACCAAGCCGACGAUCCAUAGCUGGUUUGAGAGGAUGAUCAGCCACACUGGGACUGAGACACGGCCCAGACUCCUACGGGAGGCAGCAGUGGGGAAUCUUAGACAAUGGGGGAAACCCUGAUCUAGCCAUGCCGCGUGAGUGACGAAGGCCUUAGGGUCGUAAAGCUCUUUCGCCAGGGAAGAUAAUGACGGUACCUGGUAAAGAAACCCCGGCUAACUCCGUGCCAGCAGCCGCGGUAAUACGGAGGGGGUUAGCGUUGUUCGGAAUUACUGGGCGUAAAGCGCGCGUAGGCGGACUAUUAAGUUAGUGGUGAAAUCCCAGGGCUUCACCCUGGAACUGCCUCUAAUACUGGUAGUCUUGAGUUCGAGAGAGGUGAGUGGAAUUCCGAGUGUAGAGGUGAAAUUCGUAGAUAUUCGGAGGACACCAGUGGCGAAGGCGGCUCACUGGCUCGAUACUGAC
rnacentral:rRNA from 1 species